rnacentral:misc_RNA from 1 species
GUCUUCCAUGCGUUUGAUGUGGACGGGGACGGCCACAUUGAUUUUCGGGAGUUUGUUUGCGGUCUGAACGCAACCUUACGGGGAAGCAUAGAGCAGAAGCUGCAGUGGGCAUUCAGGGUGUACGAUAUUCACGAGGACGGCUAUAUUUCCAAGGAAGAAAUGAAGGACAUUAUUUCUGCUAUUCAUAAAGUCACGGGCAGCAAGAGGGACACCGGAAGCGAGAUGACACUACGGCAGGAAAUCGAGGAAGUGUUUCAGAGAAUGGACAAGAAUGCCGACCAAAGAAUCUCUCUCAGAGAAUUCUUAGAGAGUGCAGCAAAAGACCCAGGCUUGGUCAACCUGCUGGAACUUCACCAAACAACAGACACAUGCCAGUCCACACAGUAGAUAUAUGGGCAAAAGUCCAUGUUUGCUGGCCUCAUUAGCAUCUACAACCCAGUACCAUUACAAAACGAUAGAUGUUUGAGUAAAACCCGGAGGUGGAAAGCGGAUUGGUACUAUUUAUUUGCUAACGAAGAUCGAGGAAUUUCAAACGGACAUUACAUGGUUCUAGUAUACAAUUUAUAAUUUUGUGAAAUACAAGACUUGAUAGUGUCAGGGUGUCUACAAAUCCAGGCCAUUAAAGACCCGCUAUCCAGAUUUCUAUUUUUAAAAAAGUUGUUCUAGUCGCUUACUUUAUUUGAAAAAUCCAAAAGACACAUCGUCAUCAAAUAUGUGUUUUUUCUUGUCCUUUCAGAAAUAUACUUAAUU